GGCCCAGUGGCCUAAUGGAGAAGGCAUCGGCCUAAUGAGCUGAGGAUUGUGGGUUCGAGUCCCACUUGGGUCA